UACAGAGGGGGCAAGCGUUAUUCGGAAUUAUUGGGCGUAAAGGGCGCGUAGGCGGCUUUGCAAGUGACGGGUGAAAUCCCCCGGCUUAACCGAGGAACUGCCUGUCAAACUGCAUGGCUUGAGACCAGGAGAGGUGAGUGGAAUUCCCAGUGUAGCGGUGAAAUGCGUAGAUAUUGGGAGGAACACCAGUGGCGAAGGCGGCUCACUGGACUGGUACUGACGCUGAUGCGCGAAAGCGUGGGGAGCAAACAGG
rnacentral:rRNA from 1 species